rnacentral:rRNA from 1 species
AGGACGAACGCUGGCGGCGUGCUUAACACAUGCAAGUCGAGCGGUAAGGCCUUUCGGGGUACACGAGCGGCGAACGGGUGAGUAACACGUGGGUGAUCUGCCCUGCACUCUGGGAUAAGCCUGGGAAACUGGGUCUAAUACCGGAUAUGACCUGCUCUCGCAUGGGGGGUGGGUGGAAAGAUUUAUCGGUGCAGGAUGGGCCCGCGGCCUAUCAGCUUGUUGGUGGGGUAAUGGCCUACCAAGGCGACGACGGGUAGCCGACCUGAGAGGGUGACCGGCCACACUGGGACUGAGACACGGCCCAGACUCCUACGGGAGGCAGCAGUGGGGAAUAUUGCACAAUGGGCGAAAGCCUGAUGCAGCGACGCCGCGUGAGGAUGGAAAGGGCCUUCGGGGUUGUAAACCUCUUUCAGCAGGGACGAAGCGCGAAGUGACGGUAACCUGCGAGAAGAACGCGACGGCUAACUACGUGCCAGCAGCCG